ensembl:piRNA 21ur-10322 ncRNA
UGUUGCUUUGUCUUCUAAAGU